rnacentral:tRNA from 1 species
GGACUCAUGGCUCAGUUGGUUAGAGCGUCGCCCUCACAUGGCGAAGGUCGAAGGUUCAAAUCCUUCUGAGUCCACCA